rnacentral:misc_RNA from 1 species
AACGAGGCCGACCUGCGGCUGAGUUACCUGCGGAGGGAUCAUUACCGAGUGAGGGACCCUCCGGGUCCAACCUCCCACCCGUGUUUAACGAACCUUGUUGCUUCGGCGGGCCCGCCUCACGGCCGCCGGGGGGCACUCCGCCCCCGGGCCCGCGCCCGCCGAAGACACCUGUGAACGCUGUCUGAAGUUGCAGUCUGAGACACUAGCUCAAUCAGUUAAAACUUUUAACAACGGAUCUCA